GACGAACGCUGGCGGCGUGCUUAACACAUGCAGGUCGAACGGAAAGGCCCUGCUUUUGUGGGGUGCUCGAGUGGCGAACGGGUGAGUAACACGUGAGUAACCUGCCCUUGACUUUGGGAUAACUUCAGGAAACUGGGGCUAAUACCGGAUAGGAGCUCCUGCUGCAUGGUGGGGGUUGGAAAGUUUCGGCGGUUGGGGAUGGACUCGCAGCUUAUCAGCUUGUUGGUGGGGUAGUGGCUUACCAAGGCUUUGACGGGUAGCCGGCCUGAGAGGGUGACCGGCCACAUUGGGACUGAGAUACGGCCCAGACUCCUACGGGAGGCAGCAGUGGGGAAUAUUGCACAAUGGGCGGAAGCCUGAUGCAGCAACGCCGCGUGCGGGAUGACGGCCUUCGGGUUGUAAACCGCUUUCGCCUGUGACGAAGCGUGAGUGACGGUAAUGGGUAAAGAAGCACCGGCUAACUACGUG
rnacentral:rRNA from 1 species